ensembl:ncRNA lncRNA:CR44871 long non-coding RNA:CR44871
CAGCCUUACAGCUUAUUUGGGUGAAAACGUGAAAAGUGUUGGGGUAAUCGACUCAAUUAGCUAUUGCAUAAGCACACUUUGCACACUCCCGCGCCAGCCAAACAAACACCAAACUCAAUUAGAUGCCAUAACUAAAUAAUCACAAACACAUUUACGCCAGCAAGAGCUCUUUUCAGUUGAAGCAGACCGGUUGGUAACCAAGAAACGUGGCAAAAAAAAAAGAAAAGAAAACAGAGAACCAGGUCAACAACAGAAACAACAUGAGCAACAAUUUUGAAACAAUGAAAUGACGACAACGACAGAAGCGGCAAGGCAUGCCUGGAAAAUUGCUUCCAAAUGCUCAGAAGCCAGAGUGGAAAUAUGGGUAGAGUCGGAAAAGUGGGUGGCCUGGGUGGCUGGGGGACAUUCCAACAUGUGACGCACGUGACAAAACUUGUCAAGUGACUUUACUUCACUUUGACUGCGAAUCCCGGCUCUGUUGUCCGUAAACAAGAAGACGGAAUCCCGGCUGUGAAGAAAAAUAGGUUUGUGUGCAUUGCCCAACACAAAAUGCUUAAGAAAACUCUGCUCUUGGUAAAACAAUGAAAGGUGGGGCAAAGAGGAAAAAUCAGUCGCGGCUUGGCUUUUCCGACUUGUUGCGCCUUCGGCUAAAUUAUGACAUCGAGAGUUUUAGGGGAAUGGGAAGUCCUUCGGGACGGACUGAAGUAUUUUUGGAGGAGCAAUGGAGUGGAAUUUUAUGGGACACACAAACAAUCGGGAACGGUUUUAUGAAUUAAAAUUCUUAAAGCGAAUUAGAUAAGAGGCUAAGAGGCUAACUGUAUAUAUAGUUAAUCAAAUUUU